rnacentral:rRNA from 1 species
CCUACGGGAGGCAGCAGUGGGGAAUAUCGGACAAUGGGCGCAAGCCUGAUCCAGCCAUGCCGCGUGUGUGAAGAAGGCCUUCGGGUUGUAAAGCACUUUCAGUAGGGAGGAAGGCCUAACGGUUAAUACCCGUUAGGAUUGACGUUACCUACAGAAGCAGCACCGGCUAACUCCGUGCCAGCAGCCGCGGUAAUAC